rnacentral:ncRNA from 2 species
AUUUAAAGAAAAGCGCCUGGACUUAGAUGAAAAUAUUAUCUUCAUCUAAGUUGACGAGGGAGGGGGUUAUCGAAAUGAUCGGCGGAUGCCCCCAGGCCUUCUGCCGGGCCUGAAGUCAUUCCUCAAACCCGUGGAGUGAUCUACGGAACAAAGGGAAUGACAGGCAGAAAA